rnacentral:lncRNA from 1 species
UGCGCGCUUGAGCCGGAGCGGGGCUCGCCCCUCGUCGGCUCCCGCCGCCCAGCCGGUGAUCGCUCUCCGGCCGUCCCCGGCACCCUCGGCCCCCCACGGCGGUUGGUCCGGGCGGGGGAAGGAGAAAGUGAGACUCGGUGUCAUCACCAAUCCAUCGCCAGAAGGGGAGGAAACUGGAAUCCAGCAGCGGCGAGCAGCAGCUGGACGGAUUUAUUUAAUGGGGAUGUGUUCAAGGCAAGACCGAAUUCAGAAGGAUAUCGACGUCGUGAUCCAGAAGUCCAGAGCUGAGGACUGCCUGUUUGCAGGGCCCGCCUGGCAGGACGACUGAGCAAGUCCUUGGAAAACCAGAGAUAUUAGAGCGGUGAAUCGCGCUGGUCACGUUGGACACCUGCGCGUUAGGAGAUUCUGGAGCCAGAGGGAGAGACCCCAGAAACUCCCCGGUCGGCGACCCAGCCCGAGACGCCUGGGGUCCCAAGGGAAGCUGAACGCCCGGUGGGCUCCCGGGAUGGUUCUUCC